rnacentral:rRNA from 1 species
UACAUAGGGGGCAAGCGUUAUCCGGAAUUACUGGGUGUAAAGGGAGCGUAGACGGUAAUGUAAGUCUGGAGUGAAAGGCGGGGGCCCAACCCCCGGACUGCUCUGGAAACUAUGUUACUAGAGUGCAGGAGAGGUAAGCGGAAUUCCUAGUGUAGCGGUGAAAUGCGUAGAUAUUAGGAGGAACACCAGUGGCGAAGGCGGGUUCCUGGACAUUAACUGACGCUGAGGCACGAAGGCCAGGGGAGCGAAAGGG